AACAGGAUUAGAUACCCUGGUAGUCCACGCCGUAAACGAUGAGUGCUAGGUGUUGGGGGGCUACGCCCCUCAGUGCCGAAGGUAACCCAUUAAGCACUCCGCCUGGGGAGUACGGCCGCAAGGCUGAAACUCAAAGGAAUUGACGGGGGCCCGCACAAGCGGUGGAGCAUGUGGUUUAAUUCGAAGCAACGCGAAGAACCUUACCAGGGCUUGACAUCCCGCUGACCCCUCCAGAGAUGGAGGUUUCCUUCGGGACAGCGGUGACAGGUGGUGCAUGGUUGUCGUCAGCUCGUGUCGUGAGAUGUUGGGCUCAGUCCCGCAACGAGCGCAACCCUUGUCGUUAGUUGCCAGCAUUUCGGAUGGGCACUCUAACGAGACAGCCGGUGAAAGCCGGAGGAAGGUGGGGAUGACGUCAAAUCAUCAUGCCCCUUAUGUCCUGGGCUACACACGUGCUACAAUGGCUGGUACAAAGGGCAGCGAACCCGCGAGGGGGAGCCAAUCCCAAAAAGCCAGUCUCAGUUCGGAUCGCAGGCUGCAACUCGCCUGCGUGAAGCCGGAAUCGCUAGUAAUCGCGGAUCAGCAUGCCGCGGUGAAUAUGUUCCCGGGCCUUGUACACACCGCCCGUCACACCACGAGAGUUUGCAACACCCGAAGUCGGUGAGGCAACCCUUUAGGAGCCAGCCGCCGAAGGUGGGGCAGAUGAUUGGGGUGAAGUCGUAACAAGGUAACC
rnacentral:rRNA from 1 species